UUCCAGAUAGCUUAGUUGGUAGAGCAUGAGACUCUUAAUCUCAGGGUUGUGGGUUUGAGCCUUACCUUGGGCAAA